rnacentral:rRNA from 1 species
GAUGAACGCGGCGGCGUGCCUAAUACAUGCAAGUCGAGCGAGAAGCUUGGAAAUGACGCUUCGGUUGAUUUUCCAAGCGGACAGCGGCGGACGGGUGAGUAACGCGUAGGCAACCUGCCCCUGACAGAGGGAUAGCCAUUGGAAACGAUGAUUAAAACCUCAUGACACCGUAGUAGCACAUGCUACAUCGGUCAAAGAUUUAUCGGUCAGGGAUGGGCCUGCGUCUGAUUAACUGGUUGGUGAGGUAACGGCUCACCAAGGUGACGAUCAGUAGCCGACCUGAGAGGGUGAUCGGCCACAUUGGAACUGAGACACGGUCCAAACUUCUACGGAAGGCAGCAGUAGGGAAUCUUGCACAAUGGGCGAAAGCCUGAUGCAGCAACGCCGCGUGAAGGAUGAAGGCCUUCGGGUUGUAAAACUUUCUGUUUCUAAAGGGAAAGAAAAGAAAAUGAACCGGU